CAGGGUGACCAACUGUCCUUGUUUGCCCGGGACUGAGAGGUUUCCCAGGAUGUGGGACUUUCAGGGCUAAAACCAGGAAUGUCCCAGGCAAACUGGGACGAGUUGGUCACCCUAGACCAGG
rnacentral:pre_miRNA from 1 species